CAGCAGUCGCCACGGUAAUACGAAGGGUGCAAGCGUUACUCGGAAUUACUGGGCGUAAAGCGUGCGUAGGUGGUGGUUUAAGUCCGUUGUGAAAGCCCUGGGCUCAACCUGGGAAUUGCAGUGGAUACUGGGUCACUAGAGUGUGGUAGAGGAUAGUGGAAUUUCCGGUGUAGCAGUGAAAUGCGUAGAGAUCGGAAGGAACAUCUGUGGCGAAGGCGACUAUCUGGGCCAACACUGACACUGAGGCACGAAAGCGUGGGGAGCAAACAGGAUUAGAGACCCCCGUAGUCCCUGUCUCUUAUAA
rnacentral:rRNA from 1 species